rnacentral:tRNA from 1 species
AAAGAUUUAGUUUAUAUAAAACAUUAAUUUGUCAAGUUAAAAAUAUUUAAUUAAUAAAUAAUCUUUA